rnacentral:rRNA from 1 species
AUACGGAGGCUCCGAGCGUUAUCCGGAUUUAUUGGGUUUAAAGGGUGCGCAGGCGGGCGAUUAAGUCGGCGGUGAAAUUUUGCAGCUCCACUGUAGAAGUGUCUUCCAAAAUGGUUUCCUUGCGUGUUAGUGACGGAGGCGGAAUUUGAGGUGUCGCGGUGAAAUGCAUAGAUAUCACGAGGAACUCCGAUUACGCAGGCAACUUACUAAACGACUACUGGCGCUCAGGCACGAAAGCGUGUGGAUCAAACAUGAUUAGAUACCCUGGUAGUGCACGCAGUAAACGAUGAUUACUAGCUGUUUGCGAUACAAUGUAAGCGGCUGAGCGAAAGCGUUAAGGAAUCCACCUGGGGAGUACGUUCGCAAGAAGGAAACUCAAAUGAAGUGACUGGG